CGGACGGGUGAGUAACGCGUGGGUAACCUGCCUUGCACUGGGGGAUAACACUUAGAAAUAGGUGCUAAUACCGCAUAAGCGCACGGUCCUGCAUGGGACAGUGUGAAAAACUCCGGUGGUGCAAGAUGGACCCGCGUCUGAUUAGCUGGUUGGCGGGGUAAAGGCCCACCAAGGCGACGAUCAGUAGCCGGCCUGAGAGGGUGGACGGCCACAUUGGGACUGAGACACGGCCCAAACUCCUACGGGAGGCAGCAG
rnacentral:rRNA from 1 species